UCCAACAAACUGUUAUCAUGGCGGAUCCCAUCAGAACUCCGCAAUUAAGCGUGCUUGGGCGAGAGUAGUACUAGGAUGGGUGACCUCCUGGGAAGUCCUCGUGUUGCAC
rfam:Vigna angularis cultivar Jingnong 6 chromosome 8, whole genome shotgun sequence.